rnacentral:misc_RNA from 1 species
GAUGAAGAACGUAGUGAAAUGCGAUAAGUAGUGUGAAUUGCAGAAUUCAGUGAAUCAUCGAAUCUUUGAACGCACAUUGCGCCCCUUGGUAUCCCGAGGGGCAUGCCUGUUCGAGCGUCAUUUCACCACUCAAGCCUGGCUUGGUGUUGGGCGACGUCCCCUUUGGGGACGCGCCUCGAAACGCUCGGCGGCGUGGCACCGGCUUUAAGCGUAGCAGAAUCUUUCGCUUUGGAAGUCGGGGCCCCGUCUGCCGGAAGACCUACUCGCAAGGUUGACCUCGGAUCAGGCAGGGAUACCCGCUGAACUUAAGCAUAUCAUAAGCGGAGGA